rnacentral:tRNA from 1 species
GGGCCUGUAGCUCAGGGGUUAGAGCAAGGGACUCAUAAUCUCAAGGUCGAAGGUUCAAAUCCUUCCAGGCCCACCA